rnacentral:lncRNA from 1 species
UGAGGUGUGAAAGUAUCGUAGCAACUCCUAGUCCAUCACUAAGUCUAUCUUUCCUCAGGGACGAUCAAAGGUAAGCUUGGGGGAGUUUGUUGACGGUAGAUAAGUACUCUGUUUAACCGUCAACAUAGCAUGAGAAAGGACUUGAAUCAGAAUACUAUCUAGCUAUAGGGGUAAUCACUGAUAGAAUUUCACAAGUUUUGUGAUUGUCUAUUUUUUCAUGGGGUUAUCAGAAUAAUAAAAAAGGAGGUCCACAUGUCAGAUUUACAUAG